AUUGAACGCUGGCGGCAUGCCUUACACAUGCAAGUCGAACGGUAACAGGUCUUCGGAUGCUGACGAGUGGCGAACGGGUGAGUAAUACAUCGGAACGUGCCUAGUAGUGGGGGAUAACUACUCGAAAGAGUGGCUAAUACCGCAUGAGAUCUACGGAUGAAAGCAGGGGAUCGCAAGACCUUGUGCUACUAGAGCGGCCGAUGGCAGAUCAGGUAGUUGGUGGGAUAAAAGCUUACCAAGCCGACGAUCUGUAGCUGGUCUGAGAGGACGAUCAGCCACACUGGGACUGAGACACGGCCCAGACUCCUACGGGAGGCAGCAGUGGGGAAUUUUGGACAAUGGGCGCAAGCCUGAUCCAGCAAUACCGCGUGCGGGAUGAAGGCCUUCGGGUUGUAAACUGCUUUUGUACGGAACGAAAAGCCCUGGGUUAAUACCCUGGGGUCAUGACGGUACCGUAAGAAUAAGCACCGGCUAACUACGUGCCAGCAGCCGCCGUAAGAC
rnacentral:rRNA from 1 species